rnacentral:lncRNA from 15 species
UUCGAUUGAUGGCCUCUGGCAUUUGUUGUGAAAAUGCUGGCAAAGGUGGAAUAUGGAGGAGUCACAAAGUAUAUCAAAGUUCCACAAACAGAUGAAAACUUUGAUUUCAGACAGUUUCUUCAAGAAGUAACCGAAAAAUUUAGUCUGCAGGAUCAACUUGUGACUGUCCUCAGCUUGACUGACACAUCAGAUACUGAGGUUGACGCAGACAUAUUUGAUGAGCUUAUCAAAUCAGGGGUGCGAAACUUCAAGGUUGGAUACCGCAAGCACCCAGUAACAGAUAUUGCUGUUCUUUUGGUUGAACCCGAGUCAGAAUCAUCUGUACAGCCAGACCCAUCGGCAUCUCAAGCAUCAAUUCCUGUCCCCCCAGUAUCACCAGCUUCACUGCAAGACUUUUCAACAGCAUCACCAUGUUCUUCCUGUUCAUCAGAGUCUACUACUCAUAGAGUCAUACCAGUUUGAUAAGGUUCAAAGUGUUCUGAGCACAAAUCCAAAGGGUGAAGAAAUCUUCAGAGAGUAUGACAAAACUAAAACACUGUCAGAUGCAACACGCAACAAAUGGUCAACAUUCUGGUCGCAGAAAUGAUAGAAUCAUAUGG